rnacentral:rRNA from 1 species
UGAGGAAUAUUGGUCAAUGGACGAGAGUCUGAACCAGCCAAGUAGCGUGAAGGAUGACUGCCCUAUGGGUUGUAAACUUCUUUUAUAUGGGAAUAAAAUGUUCCACGUGUGGGAUUUUGUAUGUACCAUAUGAAUAAGGAUCGGCUAACUCCGUGCCAGCAGCCGCGGUAAUACGGAGGAUCCGAGCGUUAUCCGGAUUUAUUGGGUUUAAAGGGAGCGUAGGUGGAUUGUUAAGUCAGUUGUGAAAGUUUGCGGCUCAACCGUAAAAUUGCAGUUGAAACUGGCAGUCUUGAGUACAGUAGA